CCUACGGGUGGCUGCAGUGGAGAAUAUUGCACAAUGGGCGCAAGCCUGAUGCAGCCAUGCCGCGUGUGUGAAGAAGGCCUUCGGGUUGUAAAGCACUUUCAGCGGGGAGGAAGGCGGUGAGGUUAAUAACCUCAUCGAUUGACGUUACCCGCAGAAGAAGCACCGGCUAACUCCGUGCCAGCAGCCGCGGUAAUACGGAGGGUGCAAGCGUUAAUCGGAAUUACUGGGCGUAAAGCGCACGCAGGCGGUCUGUCAAGUCGGAUGUGAAAUCCCCGGGCUCAACCUGGGAACUGCAUUCGAAACUGGCAGGCUAGAGUCUUGUAGAGGGGGGUAGAAUUCCAGGUGUAGCGGUGAAAUGCGUAGAGAUCUGGAGGAAUACCGGUGGCGAAGGCGGCCCCCUGGACAAAGACUGACGCUCAGGUGCGAAAGCGUGGGGAGCAAACAGGAUUAGAUACCCGGGUAGUC
rnacentral:rRNA from 1 species